AAAAAGGAAUGGUGGAAUGUAAGUAUUACCAAAAUAUAUGUGUUUCUUUGCUGCUUGUUGUUUGUCAUUUAUGUAUACCCUACUAUAAGGAAAGAAAGAAAUUUGCUAGUGUUUUCCUUUCUUCGUGGUCCCUGCCUUCUGCUCUAUACCAGGUAGACUCCCUUUGGCUGCCCAAUGGCUAUUUGCUCUGCAACAGUUUUUUAGUGUCAAUUGAAUGGAAUAUGGCCAAAAAGUCCUACUACAUCGGUCACAAAGUGUUAUCCGUUUCCUUCUUUUUCUUAUUUUUUGUUCUGAAUUAACCCACAAUCUACAAUUCUCAUGGAUGUUAUCUUGGUGUGAACUUUGAUCAGUCUCCAUAAUAUAUAUAUCUGAGUUGAAUUUGGUCUAGGAGAAACUGGGGAAGAAGGUUCAUCAGCUAAAAUUAGAUACUGAUUUUCCUGCUAUUAUUAUACACAAUUGCACCUACAAGACCAGUUGAUGCUGAUUGUUGCAAUCAUAUUUAUUGUUAGUGGAAACUGCUAUAUAACCAUGUUUCUGGUUCAUGCAUUUUGUUUUCAUAUGUUAUGCUUUACUCUUACGAAAUGUCAAGUACUGAAAUUGAAGUGACAAUCUUCUACCAAAAAAAAAAAAGAAAUUGAAGUGACCAUCAUUGGCUAUUAUCAAAAACUACAAUCAUUUGGGAUACUACGAUCAUUUGAGGGAGUUGACAGAAUCAAGUACCCCAUCCUUCAGACACCUCCUAGAGGUGCUUCAGGUGAAAGGAAUGCCCUGUUCCCAAUGUUGCAAGUUCUCAGCGUCAAAAUUGCAGCAGUAUUCCAGCUUUGCUUUGAGUUAUACUUUGAAUAUUUGUGAUCCAAUAAUUUCUAGAAUUCAACUCUUUUUCAGCUCCAUUCUUUUGAUUCUGAAAUGAAGGCAGUGGGAUUAAUAGAUUCUUCUUUUGUGAGACGCAUAUACCUGUCCUGGGUUUUGGAAGCUUGCAUGAGAAAAUAUCAGAAUCUUAGAAACUUGGUUAGUCUGCUUUAGUGUUGUUAAAUGGAAGCCUAGAUAUUUUUGAUAGAUGAUGUUCUCUCUUUCAAUCCUUGGAUUCAUGUUAUUAAGGUGGGAGCAUCUACAGUCCUUGAACUUAAAAAAAUCUUUACAGCUUCACUUUAAGGGACAUAAAUCCACAGUGGCUGACUUCACUUCUUUUAUAGUCAUGUUCACUGUCUUUGAAUUCAAGCAUACCAAUUCACAAUAUCCAUGGGAAAUAAAACCUAAGUAAUGGGGUUUUCAAAAUCUUAUCUAGAUUUAUGAUUUUGAAGAUUUGGAAUAUUCUUGCUUUCACUGCGAUGAAAUUUGGAAUCCUUAGAACUACGUUUGGAAGGUAAGAAAAGAAAAUAAGACAAAACUAAUGAUGAUGAAUCAAUGAUGAGUUUGUAUAUAUAUAUAUAUAUAUAUAUUGUUUUGGCUUCGAAAUGUAGCAUAUAAGUUCGUCUGAUCGGAAUCCGUGGUUACAUCCCAACAGUCCAGCAUUUCUCUAACACCAUAUAUUUAAGAUGAUGAGUUGACUGACUUUACAUCUAAGUAGGAUGAGGUUGCGAAGUAUUACUGUCACAUGGAAGCCUAAAUCUUUGGGAUACGAAUGGUGUUCUCCAUUUCGAUCUUUGGAUUCAUAAGAGCAUCUGCAAUCUCGAAUUAUAAAUUCUUUAGAACAUGUUUUAUGGGAACAGGGCUGUUUGGUAUGCAAUAUUGACAUAGAUUAUAGGUCUAGAAUGCAUUCUACAGAGAGAGAGAUCGACCUUGAUAGGGGUUGGACACUUGUGACGAUGCAUCUUCCAUCUCGGGAUCCACGGUGUUAAAUCUGAUUUACAAAAUCGUUUCAUGGUGUCAAACUAUAUACACCCCAACACACCCCCCCCCCUCCUAAAAAAAAAAAGGGAAAAUUACAACAUUACCUACUUUUGAGUUUACCUAUACAAAAUUAUCAACAUGGAGUUUUGGGUUUACAAAGCUACCCACUACAGUGUCUCUCUCUCGCCUUUACCUACAUUAUUUGACAUUUUUACCCCUGAUCCUACACCUACCCAUCUUCCCAGCCCGUCCUUCCCCUGCGACCCCAUCCCCGCUCCUGCUAGUUGACGGUAGACCCGAUGACUAUCCUCUCCGGCCACGUUACAAUCCUGUUUGCUGCCACGCCUUCUUCCUCCUUGCUUCAAACAAACCCCGAUGUGGGAAUCACGAUAUGUUGUGAUUUUCACCUUUGAAAAGCUCCGAAUUGCUUUGUUGGCACGAACUCUAGUUCUUCAUCACCGAUGGCACCACCAUCUACUGCUAGUGGGGAUCUACACAGGUGAGCAAAACAAAUCUUGGAAGAAAGUACUGGAUGUCGUUCAUGCUGAAGGCAGCCUCAGAUUUUGUCAACCCUGGUGUGGGGGCAUGAGGAUUGCAGACUAGGUUCCUGAAUGUUCAAGGGAUAAAAGGUGAGCAAACUAAAUCUUAGAAGAAGGUACUGGAUGUCGUUCAUGCCGAAGGCAGCCUCAGAUUUUGUCAACCCUAGGUGGGGGAGGGAGGAAAUGCGACGGACGGUGGGGCUUGAUUACCGUUUCUUCUUCAUCGCCCAACACCAGCCCCAUCCCUUGAAAGUGGAGGAUCCAACUCUCCCUUUCCCAAAAUCGAUUCUCCAGCACUCCGACCCUCUAUCAAUUUCUAGUCUCCUCCGCGGCAUCCACCGUUUCAUUUGGUACCAACUUCUCCUCCGACACCAACACCAUAGGGUUGCAAGGCUGACCAACGAAUCAGGGACAGGAGAAAGGGCAGUGGAGGUAAGGGUUAAAAAUGUCAAAAAAAAAAAAGAGGAUAAGAAUAGGAUACUGUUUUGGUUAGUUUUGUAAAGUCAAAUUCAAGAGUGGGUAAUUUGGUAAAGAUAAAUUCAGAGUGGAUAAUUUGAUUGAUCUUGUAAUUUUCUUAAAAAAAUAAAAAAACACUUUUCUAAUUAUUAGAAGAAAGAAGAGGACGAAAAAAUAAAGAUCAAAGAGCAUUGUGAGUC